GAUGAAGAACGCAGCGAAAUGCGAUAAGUAGUGUGAAUUGCAGAAUUCAGUGAAUCAUCGAAUCUUUGAACGCACAUUGCGCCCUUUGGUAUUCCUUAGGGCAUGCCUGUUCGAGCGUCAUUUAAACCCUCAAGCUAAGCUUGGUGUUGGGUGACUGUCCGCUUCACGGCGGACUCGCCUCAAAAUUAUUGGCGGCCGGUACAAUGGCUUCGAGCGCAGCAGAAACGCGAACUCGGGCCCGUCGUAUUGGCUCCCAGAAGCUAUCUUCACAAUUUUGACCUCGGAUCAGGUAGGGAUACCCGCUGAACUUAAGCAUAUCAAUAAGCGGAGGA
rnacentral:misc_RNA from 1 species